rnacentral:rRNA from 1 species
AUGCGUCAGUUGAAGCUUGUGCGCAACAUGAGGGCUCAAAACGACCCUUGGUUCGCAGAAUACCUACUACGCAUUGGAAAUGGAACUGAGAAGACAAAUGAUGAUGGUGAAAUACUUCUACCUAGAAGUAUAUGUGUGGCAAAUAAGACGGAUGAUAAUGGCUUGGAUAGACUCAUUGACAGUAUCUACCAAACAGGCAAUGCUUCCCUAAUAAAGGAUCCAAAGUACAUCACAUCAAAAGCAAUUUUAUCCACAAGGAACGACUGCGUGGACAAAAUCAACUUAAAAAUGAUUGAU